GGCCUUGACAUACUAAGAACUUUCCGAGAGAUGGAUUGGUGCCUUCGGGAACUUAGAUACAGGUGCUGCAUGGCUGUCGUCAGCUCGUGUCGUGAGAUGUUGGGUUAAGUCCCGCAACGAGCGCAACCCUUUUCCUAUUUGCCAGCGGGUCAUGCCGGGAACUUUAAGGAUACUGCCAGUGACAAACUGGAGGAAGGCGGGGACGACGUCAAGUCAUCAUGGCCCUUACGGCCAGGGCUACACACGUGCUACAAUGGUCGGUACAAAGGGUUGCUACCUCGCGAGAGGAUGCUAAUCUCAAAAAGCCGAUCGUAGUCCGGAUCGCAGUCUGCAACUCGACUGCGUGAAGUCGGAAUCGCUAGUAAUCGCGGAUCAGAAUGCCGCGGUGAAUACGUUCCCGGGCCUUGUACACACCGCCCGUCACACCAUGGGAGUUUGUUGCACCAGAAGUAGGUAGUCUAACCGCAAGGAGGACGCUUACCACGGUGUGGCCGAUGACUGGGGUGAAGUCGUAACAAGGUAGGCGUAGAUGA
rnacentral:rRNA from 1 species